rnacentral:sRNA from 1 species
AGUACUGAGGUCAGUACUGAGGUUCCCAGCCUCAGGUCUUCCCAGGGCACAGGGCAAAGAAUGGUUUUCAUUGCUAUUUAAUUUCCAGUCAGUAGAUGGCGCUAGCUUUCUGUCCAAAGAGUCUUCCUCAGCAUCUCCUGUAUCAAAUUCUGUGCUGAGCCACCUCCGACUUAGAAGUUGUAACCUCUGGUGGCCUUCACAACAGGGGGUCAGUCCCUGUCUCCAUCUCAUUCUCUAAUUACCUGAAUGUCACAGUGCCAGACCACGGAUCCCUCUGACCUGGUGAUGGAUCUCCGGGGCUGUCAAUCCCAGAUUUAUUGCUUUGUUUGGACCGUUACGUAUCUUCCAUGCCCAGCAGAGGUUGUUUCUUGGAGGCAAAAUACAGGCCCACACUUCAAACACCUUUGACGUUUACAUUGAUGGAGCAUUGAGUGAAAGUGAAAGUGGUGAUUCUGAAAAUCAAAGACGGUGUUGGGAGAAGAGGGCACGUCCAUGCCUCUCCACCAAGUGGACUAGAGACUUUGUGGCACUGAAUGUGGAUCUAAGCUUCAGUGGGGAUGAUAAAGGACCAGCGAACAUUCCAGGACAUAUCACUGAAGAAAGCACCAGCCGUAGAUUUUCUCUCCUUGUUUAUCAGAAACAACCUGUGGCAGAAUUUGACAGAAAAGACAAAUUCACAUGCCCAUCAAAUGUGUGCAGAAAAGCCAAACUACUCUUAUUCCAAGAACAUCACGGAUGCUUCUGUUGAUGAAAUGAAAGCUUUUACUGGGCUAAGAUAUACAUGGAAUAUUCGUGUAUAAAACUAAGCUAUCUGGAUUACUGGUCAAGUGAGAGACCUGACCUUCUUGCAUGUGAUUUAUGAGCAGGAUGUAAACAUUGAUAAAACAGACAAAUACUAAAUAUUGGUAUUAGAAGUAAGGUAGAACUAUUAUCUUCAAUCUCUCCAAGUUUCAACUAAAUCUAACCACUGUUGUGUAUAGUAUGAAUAAUUUUCUAAUGAAUCAACACUUUUCAAAAUUUUGCUCAGGAAGCCAGGCAGGGUACUCAAGGGCUCAGGUCUAGGAGGGCUAGAAUAUUAUGGACAUAAAGAACAAGUUCACAACAUGUUAUGGAAGUGAAUCAGGUCUGAUUUUGAGAUAAAGAACCAGUAGUCCAGAUUAGAUUAAUGUGUGGAAAGACAGGAGAGAAAUAGGCAAGGGGGAAAGACUUGCAG